AGACGCUCCCUCCUCCUGAGCCCAGUAGCAGGGGUCUCUCUGUGGUCAGGGCCACCCUGGGCCUCUGGGGUCCCUUAGCCCAACAACCCCCCGGGCCCUCCACGGGCUCCGUCUGAGAGGGUCCCAGGGACUUAGCGGGUGCCAGUUCUUGCCUGAGGUCCUAGCAUUGUUGUCACAAUGUGACAACUGGUUCGAUGUCUGGGGCCCGGGAGUCCUGGUCACCGUCUCCUCAGCAUCCACCAAGGCUCCGGAUGUGUUCCCCAUCACAUCAGCGUGCCAACUCCCAAAGGAUAACAGCCCUGUGGUCCUGGCAUGCUUGAUAACUGGGUACAACCCAAAGUCCGUGACUGUCACCUGGCACCUGGGGACACAGAUCCAGAACCAGAUUAUGUUCCCUGAGACAGAGAGAGAGGGCAGCUACACGACAAGCAGCCAGCUCGCCCCCACCCCACCCCUCUCCCAACAGCACCAAGGCGAGUACAAAUGCACCGUCAAGCACAUCCCCAGCGAUACAAACAAGGCGAAGACCUUCCGCUGGCCAGAGUCUCCAAAGGCACAGUACCCCUCAGUGCCCACUGUACAGCCCCAAGCAGAGGGCGGCCUCUCCAAGGCAACCAGACCCCCGGCCACCAACAGGAACACAGGAAGAAGAGGAGAAGAAGAGAAAAGGAGGACGAGGAGGAGAAAGAACAACAAGAGGGAGAGACAAAGACCCCAGAGUGUCCAAGCCACACCCAGCCUCUCGGCGUCUACCUGCUGCCCCCGGCCCUGCAGGACCUGUGGUUCCGAGACAAAGCCACCUUCACCUGCUUCGUGGUGGGCAGUGACCUGCAGGAUGCCCACCUGUCCUGGGAGGUGGCCGGGAAGGUCCCCAAAGGGGGCAUGGAGGAGGGACCGCUGGAGCAGCACAGCAACGGCUCCCAGAGCCAGCACAGCCGCCUGGCCCUACCCAGGUCCUUGUGGAAUGCGGGGACCUCCGUCACCUGCACACUGAACCAUCCCAGCCUCCCAUCCCAGAAGCUGAUGGCGCUGAGAGAACCCGCCCGGGAGCACCAUGUUCUGGGCCUGGAGUGUGCUGCGUGUCCCAGGCCCGACCAGCCCUCAGCCAGCCACCUACACGUGUGUGGUCAGCCACGAGGACUCCAGGACUCUACUCAAUGCCAGCCGGAGCCUGGAUGUCAGCUAUUUAACAGACCGUGGCCCCGUGAAAUGAUCCCUGGAACAGAUCCGUCCACACCCGCCACUCAGCAGCCCUGGCUGAGCUCACAGUACAACCACAAUAAACGCUUGUUGAAUGAACACUAG